rnacentral:rRNA from 1 species
CUACGGGUUGCACCAGUGGGGAAUAUUGCACAAUGGGGGAAACCCUGAUGCAGCAACGCCGCGUGGAGGAUGACGCAUUUCGGUGUGUAAACUCCUUUUAUUUAGGAAGAAAUUUGACGGUACUAAAUGAAUAAGCACCGGCUAACUCCGUGCCAGCAGCCGCGGUAAUACGGAGGGUGCAAGCGUUACUCGGAAUCACUGGGCGUAAAGGACGCGUAGGCGGUUUGAUAAGUUGGAUGUGAAAUCCUAUGGCUUAACCAUAGAACUGCAUCCAAAACUGUCAGACUAGAGUGAGGGAGAGGUGAAUGGAAUUAGUGGUGUAGGGGUAAAAUCCGUAGAGAUCACUAGGAAUACUCAUAGCGAAGGCGAUUCACUGGAACUUUACCGACGCUGAGGCGUGAAAGCAUGGGGAGCAAACAGGAUUAGAUACCCUCGUAGUC